CGGCAUCCUCCUCGGCUACGUCUCCAACUACGCCUUCUCGCACCUCCGCGAGUCCCUUGGCUGGCGGCUCAUGCUCGGCGUCGGCGCCAUUCCUUCCGUCUUCCUCGGCCUCGGCGUGCUCGCCAUGCCCGAGUCCCCUCGGUGGCUCAUCAUGCAAGGCCGGCUCGCCGAGGCCAGGAAGGUCCUGGAGAAGACGUCCGACACGCCGGAGGAGGCGAAGCUCCGUCUGUCGGACAUCAAGAUCGCCGCCGGCAUCCCCGAGGACUGCGACGACGACGUCGUGCCCAUGCCCAAGAAAACCCGCAGCAGGGG
rnacentral:lncRNA from 1 species